CCUGUAAAAUAUUAUCCUAAUUACUUAUUUAAUUAUUUACGGUAAAAUAUUACAAUAUAGUUAUUUUCGUAAAUUAGUUUCUUGAUAUAAAAAUUUUCGAAAAUGAUUCAUUAGGUAUACAUAACUGUAAAACAAAAUGUACCAUAUACCGAAGUUUUAACCAUAAGGUUUUAUUUACAGAUUUUAAAAUAAAUAAUAGUAUACUAGGAGAAAGUAAUCACAAUGAUAUUGAUAGUGAUUUUGGAUUAGGAAUAGUAUAUUUUGUAUCACAAUGAUUAUCAUUAAAAAAAAUAAGCAAUAAGAGACAACAACAAAAUCAAAUAAAAAGGAAAAAAAAAUAUUCAAAGAUUUUUUUAAAGAUGGAUAUAAUUUGCAUUGCAAUUAGUUGAUUAUAAAAUUUUAAAUUAUGAUCAUAGCAAAGAAGUCUUAAGAAUCCUCUAUAUAUUAAUCUUGGAACAUUACAACUUUUAAGUGUCUCCACGUGUCAUCACUAAGAUGAUUCUCAGAAUCUUCAAAUAUAAUUUUUAAAGAUGGAUAUAAUUUGCAUUGCAAUUAGUUGAUUAUAAAAUUUUAAGUUAUGAUCAUAGCAAAGAACUUUUAAGAAUCCUCUAUAUAUUAAUCUUGGAGCAUUACAACUUUUAAGUGUAGCCACGUGUCAUCACUAAGAUUAUUUUCAGAAUCUUUAGAAAAAUAAAUUGGUCCAUUUAAAUAUAGAUUAUUCCUUUCUUAUUAAAGGAGAAACAUUCAUAGAAAUAAACCUUGGCCUCAUAUGUUUAUUACAUGAGUGUCAUUUCCUAUGUGUCAUCACCUCAUGCACUCUCAUUAACUUUUUAAAAAAACCCUUUGUGAACUAGAAUAAUUACAACCAAAUGUCAUUGGUCAUAUACAUUAUACUAUAUGAUUACAAUCCGAUUUGAAAAAAAAACAGGAAUUUAUGACAGACAGAAUAUUAACUCUUUUGUAAAAGGCAACAAAAUAAGUUCGACAUCUAUCAAAUCGUUUUAUGAACAUUUUUGUUUACGUUAAUUAUAAUGCAACAUUUUAUGAACAUUUAUAAACUAAUAUCAAAUCGUAUUAUAAUGCAACGUUUUAUGAACAUUUUUGAAACCGAAUCAACAUUUUAUGAACAUUUUUAUGCAACAUUUUAUGAACAUUUUUAAACUAAUAUCAAAUUUCUUUAUAAUGCAACUAAAGAAACGGGAAUAAUUUUAUGAACAAUUUUAUGCUUAUUUUAGGAACACGUAUUAUAAUUGAACGUUUUAUGAACAUUUUUGUCAACGUUAAUCAUAAUGCAAUAUUAACUCUUUUGUAAAAGGCAACAUUUUUGUCAACGUCACAUUUCUUUUCAAUAAUAGUCAUAAUAUCAUUGUAUUCACCCUAUUCAUUUUUUAUUGUUUUGUGGAGUUGAAAUAUUUGAUUGAUUAUUAGUUGAGUCAUGAUUGAUUGAAUAACAGAAUAUAAUCAUAAUAUUUGUUUCUUAUAUAACGAAACAUGAAUAAAAUAAUUAUUUGAAAACAUGGCAAAAUUGAUGGGAAUUGAUAUUCUAAUCAAUUCAUAAUCUUUAUUUGGGUAUUGAUAUUCUAAUGUUUGACACUAAACCGAUUUCAAUUGGUAUAUGGUUUGGCUUUGUUAUAGUUAUGUUCCAUUUUGCCUUGGAUUUGAACUAUCUAAAGUGACGCCAUAAAACCUACGUUCUAAAUGGGAUACCGUAUAAUUUCAAAUAUGAAAACUGAUACACUUACUAUUUGGUCAAAUAUCAUAUUGAAUAUUUUUUCCCAUAUUAUGUUCGAAAAUAUAGUACUUACCGAUUUCUGAAAGCAAGAUUGCGUGUAGUUAAUAUGCGUGAUCAAUCCCAUUUAUGCUCACAAACCAAUCAAAAUAAUGUCUGAUUUGUAUUCAUAUUCCUGAGUAAUUUUCGGAAACAACUUCUGUUAUUUUAAAUAUGAUUUUUCCUUAUAUGUUCACUGCAUUUAAUAUCCGCAUAUAUGAUUUAUUUUCAAAAGCUUGAAUACAUAUUACAGUCACAAGAUUGAAUCUAAUUGACUGAAAUUCAAAUUUAUAGGAAACUUAAAUCUUCGUAUAUGCCUAAUAUGGUAACAAAUGAUUAAUUUCUCAAUCACAUUAUACACUUUCCAUUUACUUAUUCCGUGUAGUUUUAUUUGUCUAAUACUAUAAAUAUAUGGCUACAUAUAAAACAUUGACUCAUAUUAAACUCAUAGCUACCUCUUUUUCAACCAAAAAAAAUCUCAGAAACAAAGAACUUUCAAACAAACUAGGUAAUGUGGAAGCCCCCUUAGUCCAGUGGUUUGACUAAGGGUUCAUUAAUGCUUCUACACCAGGAGGUCUGGGGUUCAAACCCCAGAAAACGCAAAUUAUGCAGAUCAUAGAGAAAAAUGGUUACAAGAGGUCUUCAGCAUGGUGCAAGAGCGUAUCAUCGAACAUGGAUCUCAUAGGGCGGCUCGGAGCGAGAAUUGUCGGCUGUAGAAUCGUCUAUGUAAUAUUUCUCAUCGUUGUAAUAGCAUAAUUAAUCAGACGUUCAAAAAAAAAAAAAACUAGGUAAUAUAUUGUACUAAUUGAGAAUAAACAAAUUUAUGGAAUUGAUAUUCCUUUCAUAUAUUGCUGAACUUUU